rnacentral:rRNA from 1 species
GAUGAACGCUGGCGGCGUGCCUCAAACAUGCAAGUCGAGCGAGGCUAUGAGUUACCGCAAGGUAAGGCAUAGCCUAGCGGCGAACGGGUGAGUAACACGUGGGUAACCUACCUGGAAGACAGGGAUAACGAUUCGAAAGGGUCGCUAAUACCUGAUAAUAUCCAUCUGCCGGAUGGCGGAGGGAAGAAAGGGGAAACCCGCUUUCAGAUGGGCCCGCGUCCCAUCAGCUAGUUGGUAAGGUAAAGGCUUACCAAGGCGACGACGGGUAGCCGGUCUGAGAGGAUGUACGGCCACACUGGGACUGAGAUACGGCCCAGACUCCUACGGGAGGCAGCAGUUGGGAAUCUUAGGCAAUGGACGAAAGUCUGACCUAGCGACGCCGCGUGAGGGAAGAAGGCCUUGGGUGUAAACCUCUGUCAUGGGGAAGAAGGAAGUGACGGUACCCAAGAGGAAGCCCCUGCUAACUACGUGCCAGCAGCCGCGGUAAGCAUACUCGUA